rnacentral:rRNA from 1 species
CACGUAGGGUGCGAGCGUUGUCCGGAAUUAUUGGGCGUAAAGAGCUCGUAGGCGGUGUGUCGCGUCGGCCGUGAAAACCUGCAGCUUAACUGUGGGCUUGCGGUCGAUACGGGCAUCACUGGAGUUCGGCAGGGGAGACUGGAAUUCCUGGUGUAGCGGUGAAAUGCGCAGAUAUCAGGAGGGAACACCCGGUGGGCGAAGGCGGGUCUC